GGCAGAGAGAGAGGACAAGAGAUGGAGGAAGGAUGGAUUCGGUUACCAGAUGGGAGAGUAGCUGUGUCACAGCUGCAGGAAGCCGCUGUUGUACUGGCUGUGCAUGAAACCACCCAUCUAGCACAAUGCGAGGCAAGGUCCAGCCGUUCCGCCCGGAAUACAGGUUUAUGGAGCAGCCCCCUUUGAAGAUCUCCAGGUGGACUUCACAGAGAUGCCAAAGUGUGGCGGUAACAAGUAUCUACUAGUUCUUGUGUGUACCUACUCUGGGUGGGUGGAGGCUUAUCCAACACGAACUGAGUAACCCGUGUGCUUCUUCGAGAUCUUAUUCCUAGAUUUGGACUGCCUUUACGGAUCGGCUCAGAUAACGGGCCGGCGUUUGUGGCUGACUGGGUACAGAAGACGACAAAGGUGAUCGAGUGUGGAUCAAGGACUGGAACACAGCCUCUUUGUGCCCAUGGUGGAAAGGACCCCAGACUGUCGUCCUGACCACUCCCACCGCUGUGAAGGUAGAGGGAAUCCCAGCCUGGAUCCCCCACAGCCGUGUAAAACCUGCAGCUCCUGAAACCUGGGAGGCAAGACCAAGCCCGGACUAUCCUUGUAGAGUGACUCUGAGGAAGACGACAAGCCCUGCUCCAGUCACACCCGGAAGCUGACUGGUCCACGCACGGCCGAAGCAUGAGGAAUCUCAUCGUGGAAUUCAUUUUUCUUCAACUUUGGACUUAUACAGUAAGGGCUUCAACAGACCUUACUCAAACUGGGGACUGUUCCCAGUGUGUUCAUCAGGUCACUGAGGUAGGACAGCAAAUUAAAACAAUCUUUCUGUUCUAUAGUUAUUAUGAAUGUGUGGGAAUGUUAAAAGAAACUUGUUUGUAUAAUGCCACUCAGUACAAGGUAUGUAGCCCGGGAAAUGACCAACCUGAUGUGUGUUACAACCCAUCUGAGUCCCCUGCAACCACCGUUUUCGAAAUAAGAUUAAGAACUGGCCUUUUCCUAGGUGAUACAAGUAAAAUAAUAACUAGAACAGAAGGAAAAGGAAUCCCCAAACAAGUAGCUUUAAGAUUUAACGCUUGUUCAGCCAUUAAUAGUAACAAGCUAGGAACAGGAUGUGGUUCUGUUAACUGUGAAAGGAGCUACAGAGUAGAAAAUAAAUAUGUUUGUCAU
rnacentral:lncRNA from 1 species